rnacentral:rRNA from 1 species
UAUCCGAAAGACUCUCGGCAACGGAUAUCUCGGCUCUUGCAUCGAUGAAGAACGUAGCGAAAUGCGAUACUUGGUGUGAAUUGCAGAAUCCCGUGAACCAUCGAGUCUUUGAACGCAAGUUGCGCCCGAAGCCAUUAGGCCGAGGGCACGCCUGCCUGGGUGUUGCA